rnacentral:rRNA from 1 species
AGUGAACGCUGGCGGUAGGCCUAACACAUGCAAGUCGAACGGCAGCACAGUAAGAGCUUGCUCUUACGGGUGGCGAGUGGCGGACGGAUGAGGAAUACAUCGGAAUCUACUUUUUCGUGGGGGAUAACGUAGGGAAACUUACGCUAAUACCGCAUACGACCUACGGGUGAAAGCAGGGGAUCUUCGGACCUUGCGCGAUUGAAUGAGCCGAUGUCGGAUUAGCUAGUUGGCGGGGUAAAGGCCCACCAAGGCGACGAUCCGUAGCUGGUCUGAGAGGAUGAUCAGCCACACUGGAACUGAGACACGGUCCAGACUCCUACGGGAGGCAGCAGUGGGGAAUAUUGGACAAAGGGCGCAAGCCUGAUCCAGCCAUACCGCGUGGGUGAAGAAGGCCUUCGGGUUGUAAAGCCCUUUUGUUGGGAAAGAAAAGCAGCAGGUUAAUACCCCGCUGUUCUGACGGUACCCAAAGAAUAAGCACCGGCUAACUUCGUG